AUGGAAUAUUCUCGAGCGUCUCUUUGAGAGGCUUUAAAUAUCGAUGGACAAUUUCCUCUUGUGAAAAAUUGCCAUAAAUGGAAUAAGCUAUUACAUUUUGGUCGAAACAAGUGGUUCGAAAUUGUUUUUCCACUGAUUUGUAAAAAAUGAUAACGGCCAGUACACUAGAAAAAAUGAAAAUGAAUCGAGGAAGAUGUUGAGUGAACCGAAAUCUCUUGUAGCAUAACAUGUCGAUGCUCAGCCCAAGUGAACUUGAAUGUGGAAGAAACUGAAGCCAAACGCAUUUUGGAGGAGGGUUUUCUUUACGCACAGACAACAUCAGAUUGCUCAACCUUCGGUUCUUUCCUCCACAUUCUUGUUGCUCAAAUCAUUCUUGUGUGCAACAUGCGUAUACGAAAGCCAGGAAAUAGCCUUUACUGCAAGUGAUUUGGUGCCGUGUUCCGAACAGGUAUUGCAGUGCGACAACUGGUAGCUGAAUAGAACAACUUGGAAGAUUCCAACAUGAAACGGUUUGCCUAUCUUUUUGAGGAUGGCAGAAAAAAAUGUGUCGUGGAAGAGGACUAAAUGUUCUAUUGUAUGGAAACAGCUUUUAUCAAGUGGUUAAAUAUGGAAAUUUCUCUGUCGAAUCCUGUACAUCCAGUGGACAUAUUUUCAAUCAACAGGUAUGAAAAUAUUGCUAUUUUUUGUUUUAAGGUGUUGUAUUUUCGCUGCUCGCAGGGAUUGUGGUGUUGAAGGGAAAUCGUUAGAUAAUUCGCAGAAAUUCAAAGAAAAUUUGAUUGCCGAAAUCAAAAGCAUUUCGGUGUCAUUGGAAACAGCAAAGAAUAUUUGGUAAAUGGCCACCGGAGAAACUCUAAGCGACUGCGAGCUGGGCCGGGACAUUUCGCGACGUACA